rnacentral:rRNA from 1 species
GAUGAACGCUAGCGGCAGGCCUAACACAUGCAAGUCAGGGGUAACAGAGAGUGCUUGCACUUUGCUGACGACCGGCGCACGGGUGCGUAACGCGUAUGCAACCUACCUUCUACAGGGGGAUAGCCCAGAGAAAUUUGGAUUAAUACCCCAUACGAUCUAUAAUUGGCAUCAAUAAUAGAGGAAAACUUCGGUGGUAGAAGAUGGGCAUGCGUCCUAUUAGUUAGUUGGUGAGGUAACGGCUCACCAAGACAUCGAUAGGUAGGGGCCCUGAGAGGGGGAUCCCCCACACUGGUACUGAGACACGGACCAGACUCCUACGGGAGGCAGCAGUGAGGAAUAUUGGACAAUGGAGGCAACUCUGAUCCAGCCAUGCCGCGUGCAGGAAGACUGCCCUAUGGGUUGUAAACUGCUUUUGUACAGGAAGAAACCUACUUACGUGUAAGUAGUUGACGGUACUGUAAGAAUAAGGAUCGGCUAACUCCGUG